rnacentral:rRNA from 1 species
UCGAACGAGUUAGGAAGUUUCGGAUGGAAGUACUUAGUGGCGGACGGGUGAGUAACGCGUGGGAACCUGCCCUGUACCGGGGGAUAACACUUAGAAAUAGGUGCUAAUACCGCAUAAGUUCACAUGAGAAAAACUCCGGUGGUACAGGAUGGUCCCGCGUCUGAUUAGCCAGUUGGCAGGGUAACGGCCUACCAAAGCGACGAUCAGUAGCCGGCCUGAGAGGGUGAACGGCCACAUUGGGACUGAGACACGGCCCAAACUCCUACGGGAGGCAGCAGUGGGGAAUAUUGCACAAUGGGGGAAACCCUGAUGCAGCGACGCCGCGUGAGUGAAGAAGUAUUUCGGUAUGUAAAGCUCUAUCAGCAGGGAAGAAGUGACGGUACCUGAAUAAGAAGCCCCGGCUAACUACGUGCCAGCAGCCGCGGUAAUACGUAGGGGGCAAGCGUUAUCCGGAUUUACUGGGUGUAAAGGGAGCGUAGACGGCAAGGCAAGUCUGAAGUGAAAGCCCGGUGCUUAACGCCGGGACUGCUUUGGAAACUGUUUAGCUGGAGUGCCGGAGAGGUAAGCGGAAUUCCUAGUGUAGCGGUGAAAUGCGUAGAUAUUAGGAAGAACACCAGUGGCGAAGGCGGCUUACUGGACGGUAACUGACGUUGAG